GAUGAAGAACGUAGCGAAAUGCGAUAAGUAGUGUGAAUUGCAGAAUUCAGUGAAUCAUCGAAUCUUUGAACGCACAUUGCGCCCCUUGGUAUUCCAUGGGGCAUGCCUGUACGAGCGUCAUUUGUACCUUCAAGCUUUGCUUGGUGUUGGGUGUUUGUCUCGCCUUUGCGUGUAGACUCGCCUUAAAAUAAUUGGCAGCCGGCGUAUUGAUUUCGGAGCGCAGUACAUCUCGCGCUUUGCACUCAUAACGACAGCGUCCAAAAGUACAUUUUACACUCUUGACCUCGGAUCAGGUAGGGAUACCCGCUGAACUUAAGCAUAUCAAUAAGCGGAGGA
rnacentral:misc_RNA from 1 species